rnacentral:rRNA from 1 species
UACGUAGGUGGCGAGCGUUAUCCGGAAUUAUUGGGCGUAAAGAGCAUGUAGGCGGUUUGUUAAGUUUGGUGUGAAAGCUAAUGGCUUAACCAUUAAAUUGCACUGAAUACUGGCAAACUAGAAUACUGGAGAGGUAAGUGGAAUUCCAUGUGUAGCGGUGGAAUGCGUAGAUAUAUGGAGGAACACCAACGGCGAAGGCAGCUUACUGGACAGUAAUUGACGCUGAGAUGCGAAAGCGUGGGUAGCAAACAGG